rnacentral:lncRNA from 1 species
AGUACAGAGCAGAAAGAGGCACAGGCUCAGAGGUGUAGGGGACGCAGCACCAGGGGCUCCACAGAAAAGAGAAACCACUUCAAGCAUUUACAGCAAAGGGAACGGAUGCAGAGAAUUGGUUUCACAGGUGCUGAAAGACCUAAGAGGCCAAACAGAAGAAAAGAGAAGCCAGAAAUCAGCAACAGAUCAGGCAACUGCAUCUCAGAAAGGAUACACAUCUCUCAAGUGGCGAGUCUCGAAUUCAGAGCUGCUCUUCCCCAAAUUCUCCUGGUCCAGUUCUGACUUAAUAGAACUGAAGGGUGUGAAUGAGAGCUUGGAGCCUGGAGCCCACGAAAGCUGGACACAGUCAUUUUCUGAGUUGACUUUGCCACGUCAAUAGAGAGCGUGAGCCUUCAGUUUGCUCCAUGGUCUUCACAGCAUUUCUCCCAAGAAGUAGACUUGUUGCCUCCUCAACCCCUCGUAUGAACAAUGGGGUCACCGUGCUCAGGCAGUUCUUCAUCCUGGGUGGUCCUAAUCCUCAAAGCACAUCUUAACUUGGAAGGUUAUUUCACCAAGACUGUGCUACGUUUUGUGCAAUAGUGUCCCACGUGCUGCCCAGAGCCUUGAGAGAGGACACAGGAUCCCUCCAAGGACCAAAAACACUGAAAUAGGAAUGGGUCUAACCUUCUUCUUGGCCUCCCAGAGGCUUAAGCUGAAAGGAGUGGAGACCCAGAAGUCUUGGCCAAGCCUUUGGGUCCCUUCCAGACUUCUCUCCAAGAGGACAAAGUCAUUUUAUAGGCACGUACAGCCUGAAAACUGAAUUCUGGUCAGUAGCUUGAAUCACUUCUGCAACCAAACCCUUUCUAUAAAGUGCUUACAAAUAGAAAAAUUGUCCAAUUCGAAUUUUGUUUUCUUGAUUCUGCCGAAUAGGAUGGGAAUAAGAAGGUCUGGCUAGUCUACAAACUAGAAAAUUGGUGUCUGAUGAGGGCUGAUGGUAUCUUCGUGGAGGCAGCGCAAUGCCAACAGCAGUGGCCUAGUUUUACUUUGAAACCUCCCAUCCCGGAACCACAAUUGCUACCGCUUUGGUGGCAGAAGGAAGAUGUUUAUCCUUCACAAAGACUGUGAGCUUUCCAGCCCUUUAUGUAAUCUCCCAGGCCACCAAGGGGCCAGCCACAUGGUGUCUGCAGAUGUAGAGAGAGGCUGACAACUCUCAUACCAGGAAUUCCUCUACUGUCCUUCCAGCCUGAAUAACAGGUCCCUUCUCUUCCUUCCAGCAGCAGAGAACCUGAGGCUCCAUCCCUGACUGCCAACUUCCCACCCAGGCCUGACAACAAUUUGUAACCCAGCUUACAGAGGCUCUCCUACCGCCUGCAUUUUUUGUUUGUAAAAUGAGCAAGUUGCUGUGGGUCGCCUGGCUCCUCUGUGAGGUCGGCUGCCAGGGCAGCUCACCCCGGGGACAGCUGGUCAGUGAAAGCAGAAGCCAGUCCUCUAGAGCUCCCCCACCACCACCCCGAACCAACCAUGCGAGUAGUUUUGUCACACAGAGUCUCUCUCCAGAAGCCAAGCACCAAUUCUCCAUGUGUGGUAUUCGCAGCAACAGAAUAAUCAACCCAGAAGGCAGUGUUUUGAUGAGAUGUUUGGGAGGUCUGGACCAAUGCAGUGCCCUUCUGGGCAGCCACUUUCUUUUGAAAGACUGUCUCCUUCUUUUUGCCAGGUGAGGCCUGGGCGUGGGGUAAAAAGAGGUGGCAAAAAUUUGUCUUAGCUCACACUCCAGGGGUGAAACACACCAACUCACUUGUCAAAUGAUAAAGACAAUGGUGAGGAAAUCAAAAACCACAGCCCAUGCUUAUUGCCUCAACGGCUGUGACAUUAUCUCACCACUCACUUAGAACAUAUGUUCAACAGCAGCGAGAGGAUUCGGGGGCUCAACUGUGUUCUGAACACAGAGGGGAAGAGGUAAGAAACACGGCAUGGCAGAGGCUCAUGUGACAAAUCCUCCAGGAACUCUGAGACCUGCCUUCCCCUCCCUUCUUCCCCCCAAUGCCAUCACCCCCUUCGAUCACCACCAGAUGCAGACUGUCUUGGCAUCAAGAACCACAAUAAACAUACAGUUCCAGCUA